rnacentral:rRNA from 1 species
UACGUAGGGUGCGAGCGUUGUCCGGAAUUAUUGGGCGUAAAGAGCUCGUAGGCGGUGUGUCGCGUCGGCCGUGAAAACCUGGGGCUCAACUCUGGCGUGCGGUCGAUACGGGCAUCACUAGAGUUCGGCAGGGGAGACUGGAAUUCCUGGUGUAGCGGUGAAAUGCGCAGAUAUCAGGAGGAACACCGAUGGCGAAGGCAGGUCUCUGGGCCGAUACUGACGCUGAGGAGCGAAAGCGUGGGAGCGAACAGG